rnacentral:rRNA from 1 species
GACGAACGCUGGCGGCGUGCUUAACACAUGCAAGUCGAACGGAAAGGCCUCUUUCGGGGGGUACUCGAGUGGCGAACGGGUGAGUAACACGUGAGUAACCUGCCCUUGACUUUGGGAUAACUUCAGGAAACUGGGGCUAAUACCGGAUAGGAGCUCCUGCUGCAUGGUGGGGGUUGGAAAGUUUCGGCGGUUGGGGAUGGACUCGCGGCUUAUCAGCUUGUUGGUGGGGUAGUGGCUUACCAAGGCUUUGACGGGUAGCCGGCCUGAGAGGGUGACCGGCCACAUUGGGACUGAGAUACGGCCCAGACUCCUGCGGGAGGCAGCAGUGGGGAAUAUUGCACAAUGGGUGGAAGCCUGAUGCAGCAACGCCGUGUGCGGGAUGACGGCCUUCGGGUUGUAAACCGCUUUCGCUCAUGACGAAGCUUUGUGUGACGGUAGUGGGUAAAGAAGCACCGGCUAACUACGUG